UACGUAGGGGGCAAGCGUUGUCCGGAUUUAUUGGGCGUAAAGAGCGUGUAGGCGGCCAUACAGGUCAGCUGUGAAAACUCGAGGCUCAACCUCGAGACGUCGGUUGAAACCGUUUGGCUAGAGUCCGGAAGAGGAGAGUGGAAUUCCUGGUGUAGCGGUGAAAUGCGCAGAUAUCAGGAAGAACACCCGUGGCGAAGGCGGCUCUCUGGGACGGUACUGACGCUGAGACGCGAAAGCGUGGGGAGCGAACAGG
rnacentral:rRNA from 1 species